rnacentral:lncRNA from 8 species
UUAUAAAAAAUUGCAGCAAGUUUAGCAGGUAUUAUUUCGUUCAAAGAGUUCAUCAUCUGGUUCGUUCAUUGGGUUACACUAACAUAAUGAUUUAUAUAAAUAUGCAAGUAGCCUACACUCGAGUCCUCAAAAUCGAUUGGUCGACCAGAAACAGGGGGAUUGUCCCCGGUUGAGCGAAUCCCUCAUCGCCCGCCACCGACAUAGCACCCACCCGUGAGUUUCGUAAGGAUCUUGUGUAAGGUUGUUGUUACAUAGCCUUCAAUGGCUAUUACAUAUCUGUAGUAGCUAUCUACAGUGUCUCCAGAAGUCCGUAAAGUUGUCAGUCGCUCACGUCGCAUGUGAAGAUGUAUCCAAAAACAAAAAGCGCAAUGGAUAGUCAAAUUAUUGCGGCAGAAAUUGCUUUAGGUCUUGUUCUGUGUGCAGCAUAUCGGAUCAUUUCGAAGAACAUUUUCAGUCAUCAGGAGAGUCAGCCUGUUGACAGUGAACAGUUUGAGCUAACAAGGUCACUAGUGUGUGUAUGGCUUGCAAGCAACAUAAAGUUCCUACUCAUUAAAUGCAACAGCAAUCCACUUUCACUGUCUGCACAUUCAACAUCCAGGCUGAUUGCAUUUCUGGCACUUCUACUGAAUAGCUACUACGGAAUUCAUUCUCAGAGAGUAUAUACUAACGAACGGCCUACAGUGGACAUGGCUGUGUGCUCUUUCUUCAUAGUGAGCAGUCUUUUCCUCUUCUUUUUGGACCAUAGCCAGCUGCAGAGCAGAGUGGACUUGCGCAUGAUCUUCAGUGACUCUCAGAAGUUCUUCCUUCAGAUGGACUUUUUUGCCACCUUCGUCUUUGGCCUACUCUGGCUGGCCUUCCCCGAUUGGCUCCUAGGAUUCCAGCCCAUUACAGGUUCUGAGGACAUCUUCCAUCUUCACCUCACUAGAGCCUUUGGCGCCAUGAUGGUGGGUGACAGUUUUGUCUCUUUUACAACACAGAAUUUCCAACCCAACAAAGAAAAGCCAUCAGUGUUCAUAAGCCGAGCAGUGGGCAGCUUGGUGCUGCUGGUGUUCCUGGUCCACUCUCAGCUGACCACCUCUGCCUGGGCCCCUGCCCAGGUCUGGUUUGGCCUGGUGGGAGCCAGCCUCUGGACAGGAAACUCCAUCUUAGGUUACCUCAGCUCUAAACAACAAAAUAUGUAACAAGUCCAUUCACACAGACACUGAACACAACAGUCACAACAUAACAGGCAGAAGUUACAUUGAACCCUCUCCUGUGUGUUACAAGACUGUUAGCCCGCUUAAGUGAAGCUGAUCACGUGAGCAUGGUUAAUCAAACCACAGCUGUUGCACAGAAAGCAUAGGCAGAUUCUCUGGGAACCUGGAGUGACUUCAAAUGAGUGAUUAUUUAUUGUUAAACAAUUUCCAUCCUAUGUUGUUCAGUCUUAUGAUUUUCAUACUUCACCAUGAAUGAGAUGGUGAUGGUCAUUGCUGACGGAGGUGGAAAGAGACUCUUUGGAAAUCUAAAUGUCUAAAUAUACUGUACUGUACAUUUGUAAAUGUGUAACUAUGUACAUAAAUAUUUUUCAAUUCUACCUAACCUUUUGUAAAUCCAUUAAAGAAAUUAAUUCAGAUAGAGAAUUUCCCUCUUCUUUUUAAUAGGUCUGCAAAUUGAAGUUCUAUGACAGUAUUUUCUCAUCAGGAUCACUGUUCUAUGAUCAGUUAUUAUCAUUCUGAGAGGAGGUUAGAAACAUUUUACAUUUAACAUUUAAGUCAUUUAGCAGACGCUCUUAUCCAGAGCGACUUACAAAUUGGUGCAUUCACCUUAUGAUAUCCAGUGGAACAACCACUUAGAAAGCAAUCAGAGAUUGUAAAAGACACUUGACCCUACCAUUCCA